AAACAAUGAUGAGGACACUCUAAUAGGAGACCUUUGAAUCGCUCCAUACACCGAGAGGAUGUUUCAUUGGGUCUCUGAAGAAAAUGGAGUAUAUCAUUCCUAAGCUU
rnacentral:snoRNA from 1 species